rnacentral:sRNA from 1 species
ACAUAACGCGUGAGGAAUUGAGGCAGUAUCCUUUUGUGAAGUGAAACAAAAGAUAUAGCCGAAAGCCGGCCACGG